CUUUCUCAUCUUUGUGGGUUUAUCUGCCUUUGAUUUUUGAGGUUGCUGACUUUCAGAUUUUUUUUUUUUUUUUGGUGGUGGUGGUUAUUGUUUUCUGUUUGUUUGUUUUUCUUCUAACAGUCUGGCCACUCUUCCAUAGGUCUGCUGUGGUUUGCUGGGGUGCUACUCCUGACCCUAGUUGCCUUAGUUUUUCCCGUACCUGGGGGUAUCACCAGUGAAGGCUGUAAAAAGGCAAAGAUGGCAGCCUGCCCCUUCCUCUGGAAGCUCUGUUCCAGGUGCCGUGGAAGUGUGGCCUGCAGAACAAUGCUGCUCAGCUCCCUGGAUUCUGACCACUUCCUAGGGCAAUGGAGCUUGGAAGAAAAUAUAAAGCUUACCUACAUGAACAUUUCAUCUAGUAUUCUGUGGUCUCACCUGGUCUUCUAUGAAGUUUCAGUUCAAGUGAGGAAACAGCACCAUGCUCUAUUAUGAAAGGAGGCAUUUGCCAUGUGAUUGGAUCAGAGGUAGCUCAAGGUAAUAAAAGGCCUCAAAGCAAUUAGAAAAGACAGAAUUAUUAAUGUGGAUUUAAUGGCAUUAACUGCUUCCCUCCUUUUUUCUCACUGUGUUAUUUUGAAUAACCACAUAGUUUUUUCAAGAUUCUAAUAUAUAUAAUCUAAUCCAUAUGAUUUUUGUACGUGUGAGUUACACAAGGCCGGUAUAUAAAACUUUGACCAAUGUGUCUGUAAAUCAGAGUUCUGCAAACUAUGGCUUAUGGGUGCCACCCUGUUAUUGAAAAUAAAAAUUGAUUGGAACAUAGCCACACCUAUUGGUUUAUGUAUUUUCUAUGGCUGCAUUUGCACUACAUGCAGAGCUGAGUACUUGAGACAGACUGUAUGACCUGCGAAGUCAUAAAUAGUUACUAUCUGGUAUUUUCAGAAAAGAUUGCCAACCAUUGCUAUAAAGACUAAAACCUUCUUUUCUGACAAAAAUAACUGCAAAAAGAAAACUUAAUCAGAAAUAAGAAGCCUAGUGAAAUACAUUGUAUUUACAGUUCAGAAAUAAUUUUUAAUUGCUAUAAGAAACAUCAACCACUUUCCUAGGACUUUUGACACAUGAGAUAAAGUCUAUGUAUACUAAGUAAACACAAGAACAUUAUUAAAUGGGUCAAAAAUGUCAAAAAACAUCCGAUAUUCUCUUCUGGGGAAACUCAGCAAGAUUUCAAGUAUGAGUGUUAAGAAUUAGAAAAGACUAGCAUAAGCUUUAGCAUUCUAAAUAAUAAGUAAUUGAAUUAAUUCAAUUCUGUUACACAGCAUCUUUUAAAGUCAAUCUUUGCAAAUUAUACAUUGCCAUAAAUACAGUGUGUAAUUGGCAUUAUGUGACUUUGUUUAAUCCAGUGUCAACUGUCUAAUGGUCUAAAGUGUCCCAUUAAAGUUAUAAUCUGGAUGAACUGAACAAGAAGAAAAGUUUUCUUCUUUAGCCCAUUUGUUUAUCACUCAAUUCCUGCUCCUGCUCAUGGUUUCUUCCACCUACCUCUGGAGAACAUAAAGGGAUUCUAGAUCUCUGUAUAAGGUGGUUUGCUUUAGCUUGAAAUCAUCAGUGAGGACAAUACAUGGGCAAUGUCCACAAAUCACAUUAUUGCUCAUAGACUGUGUAGCCCUGAUCUAAUGGAUAACUGUACAUUGUCUUCACUAAGAAGCCAGGGUGGUUGUCCUUGAUAUUGGGACAUUGUAGACUUGGCCAGACCAAUGCCCAAAUAUUUCCCAAGACUUUUACCUAAGACUCUGCUCAGUACCCAUUUGUCUACUGCUGGUCAUCUGGAAGAAUAAACUCCUGGGUGGUACCAGCUCAUGAACCUUCCUGAGUUGGUACAGAGGUAAAUGCAUCUUUUUUGCACAAUUUACAGUCUUUUUUUUUUUGGAAAAAACAUGAUUUUGAUCAUUGUACUGCAUGCCUUUAUAAAUUUUGGUGUUAUGAUGCAAGAUCUAAUUAUUAUCAAAUGUAGUGUCGCUUGUUCCAAAUUCUAAAAUUGUUUCAAUUAUGCCUUGGGUAGGGGUGACAGGAAGGCUCUGGUCUUUAGUUUAUGGUACAUGUCCUUGGUUGUAUCAUUGUCCUCUGGAGAUUCUGUAUCUCAUUUUGGAUUCUUCUGCUUACGUUUUCAAAUCUCUCUUUUAGUAGUCGCUCUUGUUCCUAAAGAGGGACAAACGGAGGCUGAAUAAAGUGUGGCAUCGGGAAAAUUGAAAUAUUCUAUCUGGUUUCCACAUUCAAUGAUUUGUUAUUUAAUUUUCUCUUAAACUUUUCUCUAGCCUUAAUUUUCAUUAUACUUUUGCUUGGGCAUCCAGGCUCAGUGAUUUCUUCUCCUGCGAAUCCUUUAGCUAAGAGAGAGUUUCAGCCAUACAUUUUGCUAUGUUUGAUGAACCUAAAUUACCAGGCUUGAUUUUCCCCCCAUUAAUUGUAUACAGCCUUGGUGGGCAAUCUUGAUCAUAUGUUUGGCUUCAACUCUUAUCUAUGCAUUAUACAUUCUUUUAUAUACCUACCUACAUGUUUACUAUUUGUCAGGCUCACGACUAUGCCACAGGUCAUGCUGAGGUCGGGAGGGAAUGGGCGGAUGAGCCGAAAGAAUACUCAGCGGGCCGUGGGCAGGUGAAUAUGAUUUUAUUCAGCACCAGCUCUUAACAGCUUUCUCACACUAGCUGUCUACACUGUCUGCCUUGUCUUGGCUGCUUAGCCUGGCAGCCCCCCACACAGCUGUGCAGCCGGCUCUUCCCUGCCUUCAGGGUCAGCAGCUUAACUCUUUCUCUCUCUCUAGGCAUGAGUGGCCUGAGCUGUGUCCUGGUUCCUCUCUGUCUGCAAAGACGGACAGCUUUGGCUUUCUCUUUGGGCGCCAGCACCUGCACAGUGUCAACAGGGAAUUAUACCUUUUAUAGACAAUAGUGGCUUAGAGCCAAGUGAUGGCCUUCCCUAUGUUAUGGCUAUGGUGGUGAGCUUCUCUAUGUUAUGUCUGCAUGGCUGUGAUGACAAGUGGAGUUAUACACCUGUGCUCUAGACUCGCUGAGUCAUGCAAGAUGUAAACAUCGUACUUUGGCCUAUCCUUGACCAAAGCACAGCCAUGUUCCUUACACUAGUAUGUAUAUAACAUAACACAGAAAUAAACAAAGUAUCCUCAAAAUCUCAUAAGGUGUAUGAAUCAUGGAUUAGGAAAUUUGAUCUAAGCUGCCACACCUUGGUGUCAGGGGUAGCAGAAGAUAGGUAAGAAAUCUGAGUGCCAGACUGACCAUACUGAGUUUCUGCAUAUAGCUCACAACUCAAAACAAACUGGGAGCAGGACAUAAAAAAUUGUCAGAAUUAGCAGAGUAUCACACAGGUGUGAGGGUUAGGAGACUUUCUGCUCACAAAGGUUUUCUUAAGUUUAAUUUCAUACUAGGUGUCACAGAAAAAAAUAAUCAUUGUGGAUUCCAC
rnacentral:lncRNA from 10 species